rnacentral:lncRNA from 1 species
GACUAACCAAUCAGAUGAAAGAAAAUAUCGCGUGAUGUAAUUAACAUCGCUCACAAUUAUAAACAAAAUAAAAUAUGGCGCGCCAAGAAGAACCUUUUGGCAAAUAAGAUAAAAGAUCGACCCAGAGAGAGGUAAAACAGAGAUAUUCUGAGUUUUUAUUACGUUUAAACAGUAAUUACAUGUCUAUAGAAAUAUGUGACCGUUGUGAUUUCCCUUAUUUGUUGAUACAAAUCGGGUAUUUUCCCAAUUUCAAUGUUGGCUUGUUCGUGCAAAAAUGAGAUUUUAUCAUUUUGUACGAUGUAAUAUAUACGCAAUCGCUUUACAGUGUUUUUUAAGGCGACAACAUUAAUUUGUGUGUGGGUAUUUGUUUCGAAUCGAGGGUACGGCAUCUUAAAUCACAAUUAUUUGACUUAUUACCGAACAUUUUCAAUACGAUUUCAACUUUCGAGCCGAUUGCUCUGUUAGUCUGUUUCUGCCAGCAGGCCCAGCAAUGCCAGUAUGCAUGAGAUAUACUUUGCUUGAAUAUUUUAAAAUAUCUACCGUGUACUGGCUACUGUUUUAACAUAAUAUAAAAGUGGGACAGUAUCUUUUUAUCCUCCAUUUGAUACUAUAUUCUAUAAUAAUGUGAAUAUCAAACGCUUGCUUGUCUCUAUGCUUUGCUAGUGCAUAUUUGUGUUUGUCUCUAUGCUUUGCUGGUGCAACUCUUUGUUUGAAGAUACCAGUAAAUCUCCCUUGAUUAUAAGUUAAGUUCUUUUAUCUCUUGAAUGUCUCCUUUUAUUUGAUUGUCUUGGGCCUUGGCUUGUGUAGGAUAUCAUUCGAUCAAGUAGGUAUAAAACGCUCAAUGUUUUUAAUAACAAUAUUGGAUCACAGGCACAGAUGUGGGUUGACUCGAGGGUUGACUUGAACACAAUUUUCCCAAAGUUCUUUUAUUAUUUAAAUGUUUCCAUUUAUUUAAUUGUCUUGGGCCUUGGCUUGUGUAGGAUAUCAUUCGAUCAAAUAGGUAUAAACGUUCAAAUAUGUUUUUAAUAACAAUACUGGAUCGCAGACACAGAUGUGGGUUGACUUGAACACAAUUUUUCCAAAGUUCUUUUAUUAUUUGAAUGUUUCCAUUUAUUGCCACUGUUCAUUACAAUGUUCAUGGUCCCUUUGGCUGGGCUUGUGACCACUUUGAAUUUCUCUACCGAAUAUAAUUUUAUGCUGGUAGCUAUAGUAAAAUUCCUAAUCGCAUGUAUUUCUCAUGCUUGUGACAUAGUGAGAUGAAUAUUAUUUGAAUCGAAAAAAAAAUCACAAUUAUAAAUUAUUGUUUGUUUUGCCAAUUUACAUCAAAACUGAAGAUGUACCCUCCAGAAGCCAAUACAAACACAUACAUUAUGCUAUGUAGAUCAGUCAAAAACAAUUAUCGAUCAUAGUAUAAAAUGGUAUACCGCAUGUCCUGAUAAUCCUAAUCAUUCAUGAAAUUAGCAGAAUUUUUGUAUCAACAAACUUAGAAAAGCCUUAAUUAACAAAGUUCUAAUUGUUAUUUUGUUUUAGCUAUGGUAAUCCACAUUGCACAGCAAAUAUGGUAAUAAUAAUAAUAUGGUAAUAAUUAAUAUGGUAAUUGCACAUUGGACAGCCUUGCUUCUUCCAUCAUCAGAAGUGAUUCUCAACUCACCCGAUGUGUUGCCUUGGCAAAAUAGACAUUUAUCAGAGGAAUAACAACAUUUUUUCUUUUUUGAUAGUACUAGUGAGGCUGCGCUAGGAGAUAUACUUUCCUCCUUACGUUUUGAACCAGAUGAGGUUGUUGAAGCCAUUGACAAUUAAUAUUAAUAUUUUUAAUAUUUUAAGCCUUAAUAUUUUUAAUACUGCAUUAUUAAUAAUAUUUAUAACAUGUACUAUGAACAUUAAAAAUUCAACACAACAUUAAACCAAUAUUUCUUUGCCCCUCUCAGAAUGAAAAUAUAAUUCGAAUUGUUUGGUGUCUUGUAUUAAGACUAUUAUGUGCUACAGUGAUUACAUUAUUUUAACUUGAUAUGAAUGAAAGAGACAAAUCAAAUAGGGGUAAUCAUAUUUUCAAACAAAGACACCCAAAAAGCUAUUAAAAUAUCAAGUAUCCAAGCGAUAUAUGAUGAAAACUAUUUUAGUUAUAACGAUAAUAAGGAAAUAAUAUGUUAAUAAAUAUAUAAUACAAACUU